rnacentral:rRNA from 1 species
GCAGUGAGGAAGGUGGGUAUGUUAAUAGCAUACUCAUUUGACGUUAGCUGCAGAAGAAGCACCGGCUAACUCCGUGCCAGCAGCCGCGGUAAUACGGAGGGUGCGAGCGUUAAUCGGAAUUACUGGGCGUAAAGCGCAUGCAGGUGGUUUGUUAAGUCAGAUGUGAAAGCCCGGGGCUCAACCUCGGAAUUGCAUUUGAAACUGGCAAACUAGAGUACUGUAGAGGGGGUAGAAUUUCAGGUGUAGCGGUGAAAUGCGUAGAGAUCUGAAGGAAUACCGGUGGCGAAGGCGGCCCCCUGGACAGAUACUGACACUCAGAUGCGAAAGCGUGGGGAGCAAACCAGGAUUAGAUACCCUCGGUAG